rnacentral:rRNA from 1 species
AUUGAACGCUGGCGGCAGGCCUAACACAUGCAAGUCGAGCGGAUGAAGGGAGCUUGCUCCUGGAUUCAGCGGCGGACGGGUGAGUAAUGCCUAGGAAUCUGCCUGGUAGUGGGGGAUAACGUCCGGAAACGGGCGCUAAUACCGCAUACGUCCUGAGGGAGAAAGUGGGGGAUCUUCGGACCUCACGCUAUCAGAUGGGCCUAGGUCGGAUUAGCUAGUUGGUGGGGUAAAGGCCUACCAAGGCGACGAUCCGUAACUGGUCUGAGAGGAUGAUCAGUCACACUGGAACUGAGACACGGUCCAGGCGCCUACGGGAGGGCGCAGUGGGGAAUAGUGGACAAUGGGCGAAAGCCUGAUCCAGCCAUGCCGCGUGUGUGAAGAAGGUCUUCGGAUUGUAAAGCACUUUAAGUUGGGAGGAAGGGCAGUAAGUUAAUACCUUGCUGUUUUGACGUUACCAACAGAAUAAGCACCGGCUAACUUCGUG